rnacentral:rRNA from 1 species
CAGCGCCUGACACAUGCAAGUCGAACGAGGGCCUUCGCGGCUAUAGAGGCGCACGGGUGCGUAACGCGUGGGAAUCUGCCCCUGGGUUCGGAAUAACAGUUAGAAAUGACUGCUAAUACCGGAUGAUGACGUAAGUCCAAAGAUUUAUCGCCCAGGGAUGAGCCCGCGUAGGAUUAGCUAGUUGGCGGGGUAAGGGCCCACCAAGGCGAUGAUCAGUAGGGGUUCUGAGAGGAUUGGCCCCCACAUGGGUACUGAGAUACGGACCCAACUCCUACGGGAGGCAGCAGUAGGGAAUAUUGGGCAAUGGGCGAGAGCCUGACCCAGCCAUGCCGCGUGCCGGAUGAAGGCGCUCAGCGUUGUAAACGGCUUUUGACUGGGAAGAACGGCAGGUUUGCGAACUUGUGUGACGGUACCAGCAGAAUAAGCACCGGCUAACUCCGUGCCAGCAGCCGCGGUAAU